UAAAGCAAGAAAGGGCGUAUGGGGAAUGCCUAGGCACACUCCGGCGAAGAAGGACGCAGCAAACAGCGAAAUGCGACGGUGAGCGGUAAGCACGUGAAGAGCCGUCGAUAUCCGAAUGGGGGAACCCACACGGAGUCAUAUCCGUGUAUCACAUGUCGAAUACAUAGACAUGAUGAGGCGAGACGCAGGGAACUGAAACAUCUAAGUACCUGCAGGAAGAGAAAAUAAGAAUGAUUUUCUGAGUAGCGGCGAGCGAAAGGGAAAGAGCCCAAACCGAUCUGAGGAUCGGGGUAGUAGGAUCAUCGAUAAAUCAAACAGAGGAUCAUAGAGGAAUCACAUGGGAAGGUGAGCGAGAGAGGGUGAGAGCCCCGUACUCGAAAUGAGAGACUGGAGAGAGAUGACACCUGAGUAGGGCGGGACACGAGAAAUCCUGUCUGAAUCAGCCGGGACCAUCCGGCAAGGCUAAAUACGAGAGAGUGACCGAUAGUGAACCAGUACCGUGAGGGAAAGGUGAAAAGAACCCCGGGAGGGGAGUGAAAGAGAACCUGAAACCAUAUGCCUACAAGAAGUCAGAGCCCGUUAAAGGGUGAUGGCGUGCCUUUUGUAGAAUGAACCGGCGAGUUACUGUAUGGAGCGAGGUUAAGCAGGAUAUGCGGAGCCGAAGCGAAAGCGAGUCUUAAGAGGGCGCGAGUUGCAUGCAGUAGACCCGAAACCGGGUGAUCUAGCCAUGACCAGGUUGAAGUUGGGGUAAAACCCGAUGGAGGACCGAACCGACCCCCGUUGAAACGUUGGCGGAUGAGUUGUGGCUAGGGGUGAAAUUCCAAUCGAACCCGGAGAUAGCUGGUUCUCCCCGAAAUAGCUUUAGGGCUAGCGUCGAGAGAAGAGUUGCGUGAAGGUAGAGCACUGAAUAUGUGAUGGCCCCAUCUCGGGGUACUGAGCAUAAUCAAACUGCGAAUGUCACGCCAACAUGCUCGGCAGUCAGACAGCGGGUGAUAAGGUCCGUUGUCAAGAGGGAAACAGCCCAGACCAUCAGCUAAGGUCCCAAAAUGUAUGCUAAGUGGAAAAGGAUGUGGAGAUGUACAGACAACUAGGAGGUUGGCUCAGAAGCAGCCAUCCUUUAAAGAGUGCGUAACAGCUCACUAGUCGAAUGACUCUGCGCCGAUAAUUUACCGGGGCUAAGCAUACUACCGAAGCUAUGGAUCCCAAGGGAUGGUAGGGGAGCGUUCCAUGAACGGAGAAGUACGACCGAAAGGACGUGUGGAGAUCAUGGAAGAGAGAAUGCCGGUGUGAGUAGCGGAACGUGGGUGAGAAUCCCACGCACCGAAAACCCAAGGUUUCCAGAGGAAGGUUCGUCCGCUCUGGGUAAGUCGGGACCUAAGGCGAGGCCGAAAGGCGUAGUCGAUGGACAACAGGUAGAGAUUCCUGUACCCGUAUAUAUGUGAAGGAAUGACGGAGAGAGGAAGCUGCAGCCAGCGGCUGGAAGAGCUGGUGCAAGCGAGAUAUCGGGAUGGCAGGCAAAUCCACCAUCCGAAACGAGAAGGCGUGAAGCGUACGGAAAGCUACGGCGAGUACGGAAGGCAGUGGAGGAACUUCCAAGAAAAGUUUCUAACGUUAAGUAUAUAUGGCCCGUACCGAAAAUGGACACACAUGGGUGAGGAGAGAAUCCUAAGGUGAGCGAGAGAACUAUAGCUAAGGAACUCUGCAAAAUGACUCCGUAACUUAGGGAGAAGGAGUGCUCAUAGAGAUAUGAGCCGCAGUGAAACGGCCCAAGCGACUGUUUACCAAAAACACAGCUCUCUGCUAAGCCGCAAGGCGAAGUAUAGGGGGUGACGCCUGCCCGGUGCUGGAAGGUUAAGGGGAGGGGUUAACGCAAGUGAAGCCCUGAACUGAAGCCCCAGUAAACGGCGGCCGUAACUAUAACGGUCCUAAGGUAGCGAAAUUCCUUGUCAGGUAAGUUCUGACCCGCACGAAAGGCGUAACGAUUUGGGCGCUGUCUCAGCUGUAGACUCGGUGAAGUCUUAGUACCUGUGAAGAUGCAGGUUACCCGCGACUAGACGGAAAGACCCCAUGGAGCUUCACUGCAGGUUGAUAUUGGGAUUUGAUGCAGCAUGUACAGGAUAGGUAGGAGGCAAAGAGAUGGAUACGCCAGUAUUCAAGGAGCCGUUGUUGGGAUACUACCCCUGUUGUAUUGGAUUUCUAACCGGACGACGUAGAGCCGUUGACGGGACAGUGUCAGUCGGGCAGUUUGACUGGGGCGGUCGCCUCCCAAAGAGUAACGGAGGCGCCCAAAGAUACCCUCAGCUUGGAUGGAAACCAAGCGCAGAGUGCAAAGGCAAAAGGGUGUUUGACUGCGAGACCCACAAGUCGAGCAGGGACGAAAGUCGGGCUUAGUGAUCCGGCGGUGCUGAAUGGAAAGGCCGUCGCUCAACGGAUAAAAGCUACCCUGGGGAUAACAGGCUGAUCUCCCCCAAGAGUCCACAUCGACGGGGAGGUUUGGCACCUCGAUGUCGGCUCAUC
rnacentral:rRNA from 1 species